UCCUACAAAAAGAAAAAUGAUUUACAGUGUUGGUCAGCUCACAGGUUGUUGAACUAAUAAAGUAUCUUGUACGCAGUGUGGGCCAGGUUCAGAGGUUAGGUUGUUGAAAUAAUAAAGUAUCUUGUACGUAGUGUGGGCCAGGUCAGAGGUUGUUGAAAUAAUAAAGUAUCUUGCAAACAGUGUGGGCCAGGUCAAAGAUUGUUGAAAUAAUAAAGUAUCUUGUAGACAGUGUGGGCCACGCCAAAGGUUGUUGAAAUAAUAAAGUAUCUUGCAAACAGUGUGGGCCAGGUCAAAGAUUGUUGAAAUAAUAAAGUAUCUUGUAGACAGUGUGGGCCACGCCAAAGGUUGUUGAAAUAAUAAAGUAUCUUGCAAACAGUGUGGGCCCAGUGUGGGCCAGGUCAGAGGUUGUUGAAAUGAUAAAGUAAGCAUCUUGCAAACAGUGUGGGCCAAGUCAGAGGUUGUUGAAAUAAUAAAGUAUCUUGCAGACGGUGUGGGUCAGCAUAUGGGUUGUUAGAAGAAUAACUUUUUUUUGCAGAAAGUUAAAAGCAUCGACUAUAAUGAAUACCUCUACUCCACUUAAUUAUGGGCCCCACCGAUUUUAAUUUAUAACAUUCUUGCUUUUUUUAUGUAGGGAAAUCUAUGAUAAAGUCCCAUUAUUUUUUGGGUUAGUUUAUGGUUUAAUCCCAACAUUUAUUUUUUGAAUAGAAAAGUCAUGAUUAUCUAAUUUUAUAUGAUAAUCUGUUAUUUUCUGUUGAAAAUAAAUAAGAAGUGUUUUGUUAAUUUGGACAAAAUAUAAAAUAAUAAGGACUUUUCUGUUUAAAAAAUAAAUGUUGGGAUUAAACCAUAAACUAACCCAAAAAAUAUUGGGACUUUAUCGGAGAAUGGAGAUUUCCCUUUUAUGUAAAGUAAUAUAUUUUAGAUUAUAUUUAUAGAUAUAUGUUUAUU
rnacentral:lncRNA from 1 species